AUUGAACGCUGGCGGCAGGCCUAACACAUGCAAGUCGAACGAGUGGCGGACGGGUGAGUAAUGUCUGUGAAACUGCCUGAUGGAGGGGGAUAACUACUGGAAACGGUAGCUAAUACCGCAUACCAUCGGAUGUGCCCAGUUGGGAUUAGCUAGUAGGUGGGGUAAAGGCGCACCUAGGCGACGAUCCCUAGCUGGUCUGAGAGGAUGACCAGCCACACUGGAACUGAGACACGGUCCAGACUCCUACGUGAGGCAGCAGUGGGGAAGAGUGCACAAUGGGCGAAAGCCUGAUGAAGCCAUGCCGCGUGUAUGAAAAAGGCCUUCGGGUUGUAAAGUACUUUCAGCGGGGAGGCGUUACCCGCAGAAGAAGCACCGGCUAACUCCGUGCCAGCCGCCGCGGUAAUAC
rnacentral:rRNA from 1 species